rnacentral:rRNA from 1 species
GACGAACGCUGGCGGCGUGCUUAACACAUGCAAGUCGAACGGUGAACCAGAGCUUGCUCUGGGGAUCAGUGGCGAACGGGUGAGUAACACGUGGGCAACCUGCCCAGACUCUGGGAUAACCUCGGGAAACCGAUGCUAAUACCGGAUACGACCACUUCGGACAUCCGACGGUGGUGGAAAGUUUUUCGGUCUGGGAUGGGCCCGCGGCCUAUCAGCUAGUUGGUGGGGUAAUGGCCUACCAAGGCGACGACGGGUAGCCGGCCUGAGAGGGCGACCGGCCACACUGGAACUGAGACACGGUCCAGACUCCUACGGGAGGCAGCAGUGAGGAAUAUUGCACAAUGGGCGAAAGCCUGAUGCAGCGACGCCGCGUGAGGGACGACGGCCUUCGGUUGUAACCGUCUUUCAGCAGGACGAAGCGAAAGUGACUGUACCUGCAGAAGAAGACACCGGCUAACUACGUGCCAGCAGCCGCGGUAAU